GGAAGUUUAACUGGUGAUGAAGGAGUCACUUUGUCCAUCACAGACCUUCAGGUGCAGGUGGAAACAAAAAGGAAUCAGGCAGAGCUGAAGUGUUACAGCAGCUGUAAUGUGGCUGAUAAUCCUUCAUAUGUCUGGUACAGAAAUGGAAAAAAUAUGACUGCAGAGAAGUCUUCUAUUAGAGUCUCUGUUCAUGAGAAUAACAAGUAUUCCUGCUCUGUUAAAGGACGAGAGGAUUACCGCUCUCCUGAAGUCUAUGCUCCAAAGCUUCCCUCUGUGUCAGUGAGUCCCUCUGCUGAGAUAGUGAAGUGCAGUUCAGUGACUGUGACCUGUAGCAGUGAUGCUAACCCAGCACCUGAAUACACCUGGUACAACAUGGACGGUCGUGAACUCAGUUCAGUCCUCUGACUCUGGAAGGUAUUACUGUAAAGCUAAGAAUGAUCUGGGAGAGAGGACAUCUGGAUACGUCAAAGUUGAAGUGAAAUAUGCUCCAAAGCUUCUCUCUCUGUCAGUGAGUCCCUCUGC